AAACUGCGAUAAGUAGCGUGAAUUGCAGACGCUUUGAACGUUAAACUUUCGAACGCACAUUGCGCCGUAGGAGUCCUACCCUGCGGCACAUCUGGUUGAGGGUCGUGAUCAAAAACAGCAGGACUAUCCUCCAUAGCUGGUGAAUCACGAGUUCGGCCUACCGCCUCUGGCCGAGCGUGUUUUGCCAUAAUGCUAUGGAGGAUAGUCCUUAGAGACUGCCUACCACACGGAUGGUCUAUUAGCUGACGCAAUAGAUCCCGGUCUUAGGGUAUCAUACUUACAUAUACUCUAGGGCGUCUGGGAUACAGCUAGUAUGCCCCAUACGUGCUUGGUUUUGAGAGUUUUCGCUCUCCCGACCUCAACUCAGGUGUGAUUACCCGCUGAACUUAA
rnacentral:misc_RNA from 1 species